GAUGAACGCUGGCGGCGUGCCUAAUACAUGCAAGUCGAGCGAACAGACGAGGAGCUUGCUCCUCUGACGUUAGCGGCGGACGGGUGAGUAACACGUGGAUAACCUACCUAUAAGACUGGGAUAACUUCGGGAAACCGGAGCUAAUACCGGAUAAUAUAUUGAACCGCAUGGUUCAAUAGUGAAAGACGGUUUUGCUGUCACUUAUAGAUGGAUCCGCGCCGCAUUAGCUAGUUGGUAAGGUAACGGCUUACAAGGGCAACGAUCCGUCGCCGACCAGAGAGGGUGAGCGGCCACUGGGGAACUGACACACGGCCGAGACUCCUAGGGGGGGGCAGAGUGGGAAAUCUUCCGAAAUGCGCGAGACCUUGAGGGAGAAGCGCCGCGUGAGUAGUGAAGGUCCGGGGAGUGUAAAACUGUGUUAUAGGGAAGAACAAAUGUGUAAGUAACUAUGCACGUCUUGACGGUACCUAAUCAGAAAGCCACGGCUAACUACGUG
rnacentral:rRNA from 1 species